UUGCUUCAGCAGCAUAUAUACUAAAAUUAGAACGAUACAAACAAGAUUAGCACGGCCCCUGCACAAGGAUGACAGGCAAAUUCGUGAAGCGUUUCAUAUUUUU